rnacentral:rRNA from 1 species
CCUACGGGAGGCAGCAGUGAGGAAUAUUGGUCAAUGGACGAGAGUCUGAACCAGCCAAGUAGCGUGAAGGAUGACUGCCCUAUGGGUUGUAAACUUCUUUUAUAUGGGAAUAAAACGUUCCACGUGUGGGAUUUUGUAUGUACCAUAUGAAUAAGGAUCGGCUAACUCCGUGCCAGCAGCCGCGGUAAUACGGAGGGUCCGAGCGUUAUCCGGAUUUAUUGGGUUUAAAGGGAGCGUAGGUGGAAUGUUAAGUCAGUUGUGAAAGUUUGCGGCUCAACCGGUAAAUUGCAGUUGAAACUGGCAGUCUUGAGUAAAGUAGAGGUGGGCGGAAUUCGGGGUGUAGCGGUGAAAUGCUUAGAUAUCACGAAGAACACCGAUUGCGAAGGCAGUUCACUGGACUGCAACUGACACUGAGGCUCGAAAGUGUGGGUAUCAAACAGGAUUAGAUACCCGAGUAGUC